UCGCAGCCCGACUUGAGCGGAAAUCCUUUUUUGCCAACCUGAAAGUUCUUUUUUAACUAAAUGUCCUGCAAAAAAGAUUGGGAGCGGAAGGCGGAUUAAGC
rnacentral:sRNA from 1 species